AGUGAACGCUGGCGGUAGGCCUAACACAUGCAAGUCGAACGGCAGCACAGUAAGAGCUUGCUCUUACGGGUGGCGAGUGGCGGACGGGUGAGGAAUACAUCGGAAUCUACUUUUUCGUGGGGGGUAACGUAGGGAAACUUACGCUAAUACCGCAUACGACCUACGGGUGAAAGCAGGGGAUCUUCGGACCUUGCGCGAUUGAAUGAGCCGAUGUCGGAUUAGCUAGUUGGCGGGGUAAAGGCCCACCAAGGCGACGAUCCGUAGCUGGUCUGAGAGGAUGAUCAGCCACACUGGAACUGAGACACGGUCCAGACUCCUACGGGAGGCAGCAGUGGGGAAUAUUGGACAAUGGGCGCAAGCCUGAUCCAGCCAUACCGCGUGGGUGAAGAAGGCCUUCGGGUUGUAAAGCCCUUUUGUUGGGAAAGAAAAGCAGCAGGUUAAUACCCCGCUGUUCCGACGGUACCCAAAGAAUAAGCACCGGCUAACUUCGU
rnacentral:rRNA from 1 species